CAUCGUUUCUCACUUGCUUGGACUUGGAAGCAUUUUUCUCCACCAAAACCCUUCUCAUUCUCGAGUUCUUCCGGCUCUAAUGGCAAUUCGCGUCUUUUUAAAGUCGAAGCGCCCAAUUUUAACUUCAAUCCUCCUUCAGAACCUCGCAAAAAGCCCCAUAACAAGGUCCCCAUUUCCGGUAAACCCUCGAAUCCCACAUGUACAAUCAAAUUCCCAUAUACCUAUCUCAGGGUUGAAGCAAUAUCAUGAUGGGAGGCCGAGGGGUCCCCUUUGGAAAGGCAAAAAGCUGAUUGGCAAAGAAGCACUUUUUGUAAUAUUGGGUUUAAAGAGAUUUAAGGAUGAUGAUGACAAACUUCAGAAAUUUAUCAAAACGCAUGUUUUAAGGCUAUUGAAAAUGGAAUUGAUUGCGGUUCUUACAGAGCUUGAACGCCAAGAGGAGACUUCUCUCGCGGUAAAGGUUUUCCAGGUGAUACAAAAGCAAGACUGGUAUAAGCCUGAUGUCUACUUGUAUAAGGACUUAAUUAUUGCAUUAGCGAGAUUCAAGAAAAUGGAUGAAGCAAUGAAGUUAUGGGAAUAUAUGAGAAAGGAAGAGCUGUUCCCUGAUUCUCAGACAUACACUGAGAUCAUUAGGGGCUUCUUGAGGGAUGGAUCUCCUGCUGAUGCAAUGAACAUAUACGAGGACAUGAUAAAGUCUCCAGAUCCACCUGAGGAGUUGCCAUUUAGGAUUUUGUUGAAGGGGCUUCUGCCUCACCCUCUUUUAAGGAACAAGGUCAAGAAAGAUUUUGAGGAGCUCUUUCCAGAGAAACAUGCUUAUGAUCCUCCGGAAGAAAUUUUUGGCAAAUACUGAGGGUUAUAUAUCCAAGAACUUGUCCAUGGAUUUAAACAGCACCUAAUUACACCAAGUCAGCUGUGAAACUAUCAACUUGAAACUAUCAGUUUGGCAUCACCCAUCAUCUCUGUGGAACAAGGUUCAAAUGAUUGAUCUGAGUCACAUAGGGGUGACAGAAACUGACAGGAUAAGACAGCAAUGUUUUUGGAAGAGGAAGCAGGAAUGAGCAAUUCCAUUGGAGAACCUAUAUGGCAGAUAUAUGAUUUUCCUGUUCAGAGCUUGAACAGUCCACAUUUUGUUAGUCACAUUGAGGAGUUCUUUCAACUUAGAACUGUAGUUUUGAUAGAUUCUUGAAGCAUGAUGCACUGUCUAAUUUUGUCCAUGAUUUAAGGGAGGAUGCACAUGGAAGAUAAUAUAUAGAUAAGAUUGCUUGUUAU